AUUGAACGCUGGCGGCAGGCCUAACACAUGCAAGUCGAGCGGAUGACGGGAGCUUGCUCCUUGAUUCAGCGGCGGACGGGUGAGUAAUGCCUAGGAAUCUGCCUGGUAGUGGGGGACAACGUUUCGAAAGGAACGCUAAUACCGCAUACGUCCUACGGGAGAAGGCAGGGGACCUUCGGGCCUUGCGCUAUCAGAUGAGCCUAGGUCGGAUUAGCUAGUUGGUGGGGUAAUGGCUCACCAAGGCGCCGAUCCGUAACUGGUCUGAGAGGAUGAUCAGUCACACUGGAACUGAGACACGGUCCAGACUCCUACGGGAGGCAGCAGUGGGGAAUAUUGGACAAUGGGCGAAAGCCUGAUCCAGCCAUGCCGCGUGUGUGAAGAAGGUCUUCGGAUUGUAAAGCACUUUAAGUUGGGAGGAAGGGCAGUAAGCUAAUACCUUGCUGUUUUGACGUUACCGACAGAAUAAGCACCGGCUAACUCUGUGCCAGCCGCCGCAGUAAUAC
rnacentral:rRNA from 1 species